rnacentral:piRNA from 1 species
AAGAAGGCACAGGGAACCUACUGCACGAGA